rfam:Canis lupus familiaris chromosome 15, whole genome shotgun sequence.
GCCCGGUUGGCUCAGCGGUUGAGCAUCUGCCUUCGGCUCAGGGCAUGAUCCCAGGGUCCUGGGAUCGAGUCCCACAUUGGGUU